CGAUGAAGAACGCAGCGAAAUGCGAUACCUAGUGUGAAUUGCAGAAUUCCGCGAAUCAUCGAGUCUUUGAACGCAAGUUGCGCCCGAGGCUCGUCCCGAGGGCAUGCCUGCCUGAGCGUCCG
rnacentral:rRNA from 1 species